UCGAGCAUUUGCAAUACUAUAGGUUCAAUUUCGGAACGGUUGCUCGCUGAAGCUAAGCAGGGCUGAGCCUGGUCAGUGCCUGGAUGGGAGACCACAUGGGAAAGCUAGGUUACUGCUGGAA
rnacentral:rRNA from 1 species